AUACGUAGGUGGCAAGCGUUGUCCGGAUUUACUGGGCGUAAAGGGCGUGUAGGCGGUCUUGCAAGUCAGAAGUGAAAUUCCUGAGCUCGACUCGGGCGCUGCUUCUGAAACUGCAGGACUUGAGUGCUGGAGGGGAUAGCGGAAUUCCUAGUGGAGCGGUAAAAUGCGCAGAUAUUAGGAGGAACACCAGUGGCGAAGGCGGCCUGCUGGACGACAACUGACGCUGAGGCGCGAAAGCGUGGGGAGCAAACAGGAUUAGAUACCCUGGUAGUCCACGCUGUAAACGAUGAAUACUAGGUGUGGGGGGACUGACCCCUUCCGUGCCGGAGUAAACACAAUAAGUAUUCCACCUGGGGAGUACGGCCGCAAGGUUGAAACUCAAAUGAAUUGACGGG
rnacentral:rRNA from 1 species